rnacentral:rRNA from 1 species
UCAAGCUGGAAAGAGCGCAAGGGGAAUGCCUUGGCAUCAGGAGCCGAAGAAGGACGUGACAAGCUGCGAAAAGCCUCGGGGAGGAGCAAAUAUCCAUUGAUCCGGGGAUAUCCGAAUGGGGCAACCCGGCUGGACAAUAUCCAGUCAUCCUGCGUUGAACAAAAUAGGCGUAGGAAGGGAACCGCCUGAACUGAAACAUCUAAGUAGGGCGAGGAAGAGACAUCAACCGAGAUUCCGCAAGUAGUGGCGAGCGAACGCGGAAGAGGCCAAACCGAGGGAUUUAUUCCUCGGGGUUGCGGACAGUCAUUUAGCGGAAGUUAUCUAGGAGAAGGGUCUGGGAAGGCCCGCCACAGAGGGUGAGAGCCCCGUAUCCGAAAGAGAAGGCCGUGCGACUGAAUCCAGAGUACCGCGGGACACGUGAAACCCCGUGGGAAACAGGGGGGACCACCCUCCAAGCCUAAAUACUACCUGAUGACCGAUAGAGGAGCAGUACCGUGAGGGAAAGGUGAAAAGGACCCCGGGAGGGGAGUGAAAGAGAACCUGAAACCUUGUGCUUACAAGCAGUCAAAGCACGUUAACGUGUGAUGACGUACUUUUUGUAGAACGGUCCGGCGAGUUAUAGUAACGAGCAAGCUUAAGGUAUUGAGUACCGGAGGCGAAGCGAGAGCGAGUCUGAAUAGGGCGUAAAGUUCGUUGCCAUAGACCCGAAACCGGGUGACCUAUCCAUGAGCAGGCUGAAGUGAGAGUAAAAUCUCAUGGAGGGCCGAACCGACCCCCGUUGCAAUGGUGGCGGAUGACUUGUGGAUAGCGGAGAAAUUCCAAUCGAACUCGGAGAUAGCUGGUUCUCCCCGAAAUAGCUUUAGGGCUAGCGUUAUGUUAGAUUACCGGAGGUAAAGCACUGAAUGGUGGCGGGGCCGAUAAGGUUACCAAGACCUAUCAAACUCUGAAUGCCGGAUAAUUGAUGCAUAGCAGUCAGACAGCGUGAGAUAAGUUUCGUUGUCAAAAGGGAAACAGCCCAGACCCACAGCUAAGGUCCCAAAUUCAUGCUAAGUGGAAAACGAUGUGGAAUUGCGAAAACAACCAGGAUGUUGGCUUAGAAGCAGCCACUCAUUAAAAGAGUGCGUAAUAGCUCACUGGUCGAGUGACUCUGCGCGGAAAAUAUAACGGGGCUAAGCAUGAAACCGAAGCUUGGGCUUGUCGUAAGACAGGGGUAGGGGAGCGUCGAGUAUGGGGUGAAGUCAGAGCGGAAGCACUGGUGGACUGUACUGGAGUGAGAAUGCCGGAAUGAGUAGCGAGAAUUAUGUGGGAAUCAUAAUGGCCGAAAAUCUAAGGUUUCUUGGGGAAGGUUCGUCCGCCCAAGGUAAGUCGGGAGCUAAGCUCAGGCCGAGAGGCGUAGGCGAUGCACAUACGGUAGAAAUUCCGUAACCACCGAAACUUAAACAGAGGGACACUUCGAAAUAGCGGAACCCGGGCGUUGGUUGACCCGGGCGAAAGGGAGCGAAAUUAGAGUAGCGAAGUCCGCGAUGUUCGGAGGCGAGAAAAGCUCUGAGGUAUGCUAAGGUGCCCGUACCGCAAACCGACACAGGUAGAUGAGGAGAGAAUCCUAAGGCCAACGGGAGAAGGGUUGUUAAGGAACUCGGCAAAUUGACCCCGUAACUUCGGAAGAAGGGGAGCCCCCUACGGGGGGUCGCAGAGAAAUGGCCCAAGCAACUGUUUACCAAAAACACAGGUCUAUGCUAAAUCGAAAGAUGACGUAUAUGGGCUGACGCCUGCCCGGUGCCGGAAGGUUAAGAGGAGAUGUCAGGCAACGAAGCAUUGAAUUUAAGCCCCGGUAAACGGCGGCCGUAACUAUAACGGUCCUAAGGUAGCGAAAUUCCUUGUCAGGUAAGUUCUGACCCGCACGAAUGG